rnacentral:rRNA from 1 species
GAUGAACGCUGGCGGCGUGCCUAAUACAUGCAAGUCGAGCGAACAGACGAGGAGCUUGCUCCUCUGACGUUAGCGGCGGACGGGUGAGUAACACGUGGAUAACCUACCUAUAAGACUGGGAUAACUUCGGGAAACCGGAGCUAAUACCGGAUAAUAUAUUGAACCGCAUGGUUCAAUAGUGAAAGACGGUUUUGCUGUCACUUAUAGAUGGAUCCGCGCCGCAUUAGCUAGUUGGUAAGGUAACGGCUUACCAAGGCAACGAUGCGUAGCCGACCUGAGAGGGUGAUCGGCCACACUGGAACUGAGACACGGUCCAGACUCCUACGGGAGGCAGCAGUAGGGAAUCUUCCGAAAUGGGCGAAGGCCUGACGGAGCAACGCCGCGUGAGUGAUGAAGGUCUUCGGAUCGUAAAACUCUGUUAUUAGGGAAGAACAAAUGUGUAAGUAACUAUGCACGUCUUGACGGUACCUAAUCAGAAAGCCACGGCUAACUACGUG